CGGUAAUUCCAGCUCCAAUAGCGUAUACUAAAGUUGUUGCAGUUAAAAAGCUCGUAGUUGGAUUUCUGCGGGGACGGAGCGGCCGGUCGCAACUUGCGACUCGAGCUAGCGCUUUCCCCGCAUCCUGCCGCGAACCGUGCUACCAUUAGCUUGGUGGCGCUGGGGAUCGGCUCGAUUACUUUGAGAAAAAUAGAGUGUUCAAAGCAGGCCACACGCCUUGAAUAAGUUAGCAUGGAAUAAUGACUAAGGACUUCGGUUCUAUUUUGUUGGUGUUCGGGACUGAAGUAAUGAUUGAUAGGGACAGUUGGGGCGGUCUGUAUUCCAAAGCGAGAGGUGAAAUUCUUAGACCUUCGGAAGACAAACAGCUGCGAAAGCGUUCCGCAAGGAUGUUCCCUUUGAUCAAGAACGAAAGUUGGGGGAUCGAAGACGAUCAGAUACCGUCGUAGUCUCAACUAUAAACUAUACCAGCUAGGGAUCGGUCAACGUUUAAUCAUUCGACUUGAUCGGCACCUUAUGAGAAAUCAAAGCAUCUGGGUUCCGGGGGGAGUAUGGUCGCAAGGCUGAAACUUAAAGGAAUUGACGGAAGGGCACCACCAGCCGUGGAGCCUGUGGCUUAAUUUGACUCAACACGGGAAAACUUACCAGGUCCAGACAUAGUAAGGAUUGACAGAUUGAUAGCUCUUUCUUGAUUCUGUGGGUGGUGGUGCAUGGCCGUUCUUAGUUGGUGGAGUGAUUUGUCUGGUUAAUUCCGUUAACGAACGAGACCCCAGCCUGCUAAAUAGCGCGGCUGAGCUUUGCUCGGUGCGAGCUUCUUAGAGGGACUAUGAUGCGCGAUAGCACAUGGAAGUUUGGAGCAAUAACAGGUCUGUGAUGCCCUUAGAUGUUCUGGGCCGCACACGGGCUACACUGGCGCCUGCAACGAGCAUAUCAGCUGGCCCGAGAGGGUCUUGGCUAAUCUUUUGAACCGGCGCCGUGCUUGGGAUUGACCAUUGCAAUUGUUGGUCAUGCAACGAGGAAUGCCUUGUAAACGCGAGUCAUCAGCUCGCAUUGAAUACGUCCCUGCCCUUUGUACACACCGCCC
rnacentral:rRNA from 1 species